AUCUCUAUCUCUUUCUUCUAAGUACACUAGUCUUUGUAUCUUCUUGUUCUUCCCAACCAAAUACAGUCGAUCGGAGAAAAUCAAAUCAACCCGAAAACGUUCGAACAAAGAGGAGGGGUUAUGUUUUCCUUGAUUAAAUCUUUGCCUCAAAACAGUCGAGAGAGUUGAGGUUAGCUUGUUUGAUCAAGUACAAGAAAGAGAUACUGUGUCGUGGGGAUUCUCAAUGGUUACGAGGACUGCCUGAUUCUGUUUAAGGAAAUGGAGUGCUUGGGUUUGAGAUUUGAUGGGGUUACAGUGGGAAGAAACGCAAGCUCGCUGCCAUUAAAAUGAUGAGAAAGCGGCUAGGGAAGAAAGAGGCUAGGAGAUGUUCUCGACGCCACAAGAAAAGGGGAUUUGUGGAUUGUUGAAGCUAUGAAUGACGAUGAACAUGGAAGACUCUCAAUAGUUGCUACUAGUUAACAAUAAUAAGAUUAACAAGGUUUGCGAGAAACCCAAUGUCAGGUAAUAAAAACCGAGUGAGAUUAUAGUUGAACAUGUCUAAUGAGAUUAUUCUACGAUGAAUAUAUGUAUGCUGCAGCUGAUUAGUAGGAUAAACCUAGAUGCACAAGAUGCACCCAAGUGCAUAGUGUAUAUCUUGACAUAAAAAUAGGUUUUGUUCCGGAAGCACCUGAGUGCAUAACAUAUAUAUUUUUUUUGAACUUUUUUGUUGUUUCUGUUAUAUUUUUUUUGGUUGAUAUUUUUAAUGGUCAAUAUAAAUGGUAAUGGUGUUAGAUU